CCGAUCUCGGAAGGUUAAUUGAUGGGGUUAGUUUUCGGACGAAGCUCUUGAUCGAAGCCCCGGUAAACGGCGGCCGUAACAAUAACGGUCCUAAGGUAGCGAAAUUCCUUGUCGGGUAAGUUCCGACCUGCACGAAUGGUGUAACCAUGGCCACGCUGUCUCCACCCGAGACUCAGUGAAAUUGAAAUCGCAGUGAAGAUGCUGUGUACCCGCACCUAGACGGAAAGACCCCGUGAACCUUUACUACAGCUUGGCACUGAACAUUGAACCUACAUGUGUAGGAUAGGUGGGAGGCUUUGAAGCACAGUCGCUAGAUUGUGUGGAGCCGUCCUUGAAAUACCACCCUUGUAUGUUUGAUGUUCUAACAUUGACCCCUUAUCGGGGUUGUGGACAGUGUCUGGUGGGUAGUUUGACUGGGGCGGUCUCCUCCCAAAUAGUAACGGAGGAGCACGAAGGUUAGCUAAUCACGGUCGGACAUCGUGAGGUUAGUGCAAUGGCAUAAGCUAGCUUAACUGCGAGACAGACACGUCGAGCAGGUACGAAAGUAGGUCAUAGUGAUCCGGUGGUUCUGUAUGGAAGGGCCAUCGCUCAACGGAUAAAAGGUACUCCGGGGAUAACAGGCUGAUACCGCCCAAGAGUUCACAUCGACGGCGGUGUUUGGCACCUCGAUGUCGGCUCAUCACAUCCUGGGGCUGAAGCCGGUCCCAAGGGUAUGGCUGUUCGCCAUUUAAAGUGGUACGCGAGCUGGGUUUAGAACGUCGUGAGACAGUUCGGUCCCUAUCUGCCGUGGACGUUGGAGAUUUGAGGAAAGCUGCUCCUAGUACGAGAGGACCGGAGUGGACGAACCUCUGGUGUUCGGGUUGUCACGCCAGUGGCAUUGCCCGGUAGCUAUGUUCGGACAGGAUAACCGCUGAAAGCAUCUAAGCGGGAAGCCCCUUCCAAGAUGAGAUCUCCCUGGACCCUUGAGGUCCCUGAAGAGCCGUUCAAGACCAGGACGUUGAUAGGUCGGGUGUGUAAGCGCUGCGAGGCGUUGAGCUAACCGAUACUAAUUGCUCGUGCG
rnacentral:rRNA from 11 species